GUAGAAAGAAAGAAAAAAAAAAAAAGGAACGUCAAAAUAAAAAAAUAAAAAAGGAAAAAUAGCGGAAUGCUCUUCUUUUUCAGACCUUUUUUUCUUCUUCUUCUUC
rnacentral:ribozyme from 14 species